UACGUAGGGUGCAAGCGUUGUCCGGAAUUAUUGGGCGUAAAGAGCUCGUAGGCGGUCUGUCACGUCGGCUGUGAAAACCUGGGGCUCAACCCCGGGCCUGCAGCCGAUACGGGCAGACUAGAAUUCGGUAGGGGAGACUGGAAUUCCUGGUGUAGCGGUGAAAUGCGCAGAUAUCAGGAAGAACACCCGUGGCUAAGGCGGCUCUCUAGUACGGUACUGACGCUGAGACGCGAAAGCGUGGGGAGCGAACAGG
rnacentral:rRNA from 1 species